UACGUAGGGCGCAAGCGUUGUCCGGAAUUAUUGGGCGUAAAGAGCGCGUAGGCGGCCCGGUAAGUCCGCUGUAAAAGUCAAAGGCUCAACCUUUGAAUGUCAGUGGAUACUGCCGGGCUAGAGUCCGGAAGAGGCGAGUGGAAUUCCUGGUGUAGCGGUGGAAUGCGCAGAUAUCAGGAGGAACACCGACGGCGAAGGCAGCUCGCUGGGACGGUACUGACGCUGAGGCGCGAAAGCGUGGGGAGCGAACAGG
rnacentral:rRNA from 1 species